rnacentral:rRNA from 1 species
AUUGAACGCUGGCGGAAUGCUUUACACAUGCAAGUCGAACGGUAGAGGGGGCAACCCCUCGAGAGUGGCGAACGGGUGAGUAAUAUAUCGGAACGUGCCCAGUCGUGGGGGAUAACGUAGCGAAAGUUACGCUAAUACCGCAUACGAUCUAUGGAUGAAAGCGGGGGAUCGCAAGACCUCGCGCGAUUGGAGCGGCCGAUAUCAGAUUAGGUAGUUGGUGGGGUAAAGGCUCACCAAGCCAACGAUCUGUAGCUGGUCUGAGAGGACGACCAGCCACACUGGAACUGAGACACGGUCCAGACUCCUACGGGAGGCAGCAGUGGGGAAUUUUGGACAAUGGACGCAAGUCUGAUCCAGCCAUUCCGCGUGCAGGAUGAAGGCCCUCGGGUUGUAAACUGCUUUGUACGGAACGAAAAGGUUUCUAUUAAUACUAGGAGCUCAUGACGGUACCGUAAGAAUAAGCACCGGCUAACUACGUG